rnacentral:misc_RNA from 1 species
AAAAAAGGCAGUUGGUGGGGAAGAGAAACUGGAACUGGUUGAAGAAGCAAAGGCAGAGGAUGAUGCGGAAGAUGAUAAAUAAGAAUUCGUAUGAUGGGUUGGAAAUCUUCCACAAGGUGAAAGAGAACGUAGGACUGGUCCGCUAGAUCUUCUUGACUGCGAGCUCGUAGCCAUUUUCAGAGGGACGAAAAAGGGGAAAGAAGACAGAAGAAGAAGAAGAAGAAGAAGAGGGGCUUUUUGGGGAAUUUUCUCCUAAAG